rnacentral:lncRNA from 1 species
AGCGAAAUUUAUUUUGUGGUUUUUUCAGCAAGUCGAAAAUCUUAGAAGAGAUUUUUAGAGUUCAGAUUCUUUGUUUCAUAAGAUAAGAAAAAAGGUUCAUUUUGUUAAUUAUAAUAUCAGGAAAGAUAGAUAUUUAUUCUCUUUCAGCCUAAAUGAAGCAUUUAGGUAUUUUAUAGAAGGUGAAUUGGCAAUUUAAAUAUUUACAAUGCCUGUUGUAUUUAUGAUCGAUGUUUUUUAUAGUAGGAUUUGAAAUGGCCUUUUCUUUGAGUAUUUGUUUUUGAAGGACACCUUACUUUCGACUUCGAUAAGUAGCGAAGCCAUUUUAGUCACUUGUUCGUGUAGUCUGUCGAGCGUCAAGUCACUGGAGAUGAGCUCUCCAGUUUUCCCAGUUUUCCCGGUUUUGUCCUGUUUGACAGUGACAUCAGUGAGCCCAGUGUUUCGGCAGUAAAUUGCUUAGUUCCGGCCAAAGAAAUUGAAUUUGAUUCUGUGUUGUCUUCGACUCUUCGUUUGAGGAAGCUAAUAAAGACGUCAUAAUCCCA